GCUUUUAUAGAUCAGUGGUUAGAGCAGUGGUCUUGUAACCACAAGGGGUUCGUGAGUUCAAAUCUCACUGGAGGCU
rnacentral:tRNA from 1 species